rnacentral:misc_RNA from 1 species
UACGUAGGGGGCAAGCGUUGUCCGGAAUCAUUGGGCGUAAAGAGCGUGUAGGCGGCUCGAUAAGUCCGCUGUGAAAGUCCAGGGCUCAACCCUGGAAUGCCGGUGGAAACUGUCGAGCUAGAAUCCGGAAGAGGCGAGUGGAAUUCCUGGUGUAGCGGUGAAAUGCGCAGAUAUCAGGAGGAACACCAAUGGCGAAGGCAGCUCGCUGGGACGGUAUUGACGCUGAGGCGCGAAAGUGUGGGGAGCAAACCGG